AUCUCUCGAGACAUCCAAUAAAAUUGGAACAGUACCGAGAAGAUUAGCAUGGCCCCUAUUCAAGGAUGACAUGCAUGAUGUAAGAAAUGUGCCCUUUUUUG
rnacentral:snRNA from 1 species